AGGGAACGUGGGGAAGUGAAACAUCUCAGUACCCACAGGAAGAGAAAACAAAAGUGAUUCCGUUAGUAGUGGCGAGCGAACGCGGAUUAGCCCAAACCAAUAUUGUUACGGCAAUAUUGGGGUUGUAGGACCACAAUAUUCAAUGCUAAGUAAAUUAGAACUGUUUGGAAAGACAGACCAAAGAGGGUGAUAGUCCCGUAAAAGUAAGCGAAGUUAUUGAUAGUGGUAUCCUGAGUAGUGCGGGGCACGUGAAACCCUGUAUGAAUCCGGCGGGACCAUCCGCCAAGACUAAAUACUCCUGAGAGACCGAUAGUGAACUAGUACCGUGAGGGAAAGAUGAAAAGUACCCCGAUGAGGGGAGUGAAACAGUACCUGAAACCGGAUGCUUACAAGCUGAGGGAGCUCUUCGGAGUGACCUCGUACCUUUUGUAUAAUGGGUCAACGACUUAGUGUUGUAUGCAAGCUUAAACCGUUAGGUGUAGGCGCAGCGAAAGCGAGUCUGAAUAGGGCGACCGAGUAUGCAGCAUUAGACCCGAAGGCAAGUGAUCUAGGUAUGGGCAGGGUGAAGGUGCAGUAACAUGCACUGGAGGCCCGAACCGUUGAGCGUUGAAAAGCUCUCGGAUGACCUGUGCCUAGGGGUGAAAGGCCAAUCAAACUCGGAGAUAGCUGGUUCUCUGCGAAAUCUAUUUAGGUAGAGCGU
rnacentral:rRNA from 1 species